rnacentral:lncRNA from 1 species
GUUCUGUGCAUGCUUAAACAGGUAGCAAGCAUCAUGAAUCAGAAGUUAUCAUCUCACAAUAAACCCAAAAAACAUGAACAAUCUAACUACAAAGUUUGAUGAAGGCUUAUCUCUCUGAGCAGACAAUGUCAGGCUUUGUUAACAAUGUCAAAGCAGUGGUAGAUAUGUUGCUCUACUACUCAAAAAAAUUAAGAGAAGAGCCAGUGCUACCAUGUCCUUACCUGCUCCAUAAUAACAAAGAGCUAUAGCAUGCUACCUUUCUCUUUU